rnacentral:rRNA from 1 species
UACGUAGGGGGCAAGCGUUGUCCGGAUUUAUUGGGCGUAAAGAGCGUGUAGGCGGCUUUACAGGUCCGUUGUGAAAACUCGAGGCUCAACCUCGAGACGCCGGUGGAAACCGUAAAGCUAGAGUCCGGAAGAGGAGAGUGGAAUUCCUGGUGUAGCGGUGAAAUGCGUAGAUAUCUGGAGGAACACCGGUGGCGAAGGCGGCAUCCUGGACCGGCAUUGACGCUGAGGCGCGAAAGCCAGGGGAGCAAACGGG